UACGUAGGGGGCAAGCGUUGUCCGGAAUCAUUGGGCGUAAAGAGCGUGUAGGCGGCUUGGCAAGUCUGGUGUGAAAUCUUGCGGCUCAACCGCAAGCGGUCACUGGAAACUGCCUCGCUAGAGUCCGGAAGAGGAGAGCGGAAUUCCUGGUGUAGCGGUGGAAUGCGCAGAUAUCAGGAAGAACACCCGUGGCGAAGGCGGCUCUCUGGGACGGUACUGACGCUGAGACGCGAAAGCGUGGGGAGCGAACAGGG
rnacentral:rRNA from 1 species